UCGAGGAUCUUCGGCAAUGGGCGCAAGCCUGACCGAGCGACGCCGCGUGCGCGAUGAAGGCCUUCGGGUUGUAAAGCGCUGUCGAGGGGGAGGAAGUCCGCCGCAAGGCGGAUUGACCUAUCCCUGGAGGAAGCACGGGCUAAGUUCGUGCCAGCAGCCGCGGUAAGACGAACCGUGCGAACGUUGUUCGGAAUCACUGGGCUUAAAGGGCGCGUAGGCGGGGGACCAAGUCCGGGGUGAAAUCUUUCGGCUCAACCGGAAAACUGCCUUGGAUACUGGUCUUCUUGAGGGAGGUAGGGGCAGGUGGAACUUCCGGUGGAGCGGUGAAAUGCGUUGAUAUCGGAAGGAACGCCGGUGGCGAAAGCGGCCUGCUGGAUCUCUUCUGACGCUGAGGCGCGAAAGCUAGGGUAGCGAACGGG
rnacentral:rRNA from 1 species